rnacentral:rRNA from 1 species
CGGGUAGCCGGCCUGAGAGGGCGACCGGCCACACUGGGACUGAGACACGGCCCAGACUCCUACGGGAGGCAGCAGUGGGGAAUAUUGCACAAUGGGCGCAAGCCUGAUGCAGCGACGCCGCGUGAGGGAUGACGGCCUUCGGGUUGUAAACCUCUUUCAGCAGGGAAGAAGCGCAAGUGACGGUACCUGCAGAAGAAGCGCCGGCUAACUACGUGCCAGCAGCCGCGGUAAUACGUAGGGCGCGAGCGUUGUCCGGAAUUAUUGGGCGUAAAGAGCUCGUAGGCGGCUUGUCGCGUCGGUUGUGAAAGCCCGGGGCUUAACCCCGGGUCUGCAGUCGAUACGGGCAGGCUAGAGUUCGGUAGGGGAGAUCGGAAUUCCUGGUGUAGCGGUGAAAUGCGCAGAUAUCAGGAGGAACACCGGUGGCGAAGGCGGAUCUCUGGGCCGAUACUGACGCUGAGGAGCGAAAGCGUGGGGAGCGAACAGGAUUAGAUACCCUGGUAGUCCACGCCGUAAACGGUGGGCACUAGGUGUGGGCAACAUUCCACGUUGUCCGUGCCGCAGCUAACGCAUUAAGUGCCCCGCCUGGGGAGUA